ACUAACCCUAGAGUCAUUGCAGGUGUGGCUUCUGUGUGUCAUGUGUGUCAGUAGGUGGCAGAGAAAGGCUAUGUCUACCCUCAGUGUUCUGACCUACAAAAGUCUGAAUGGUUAGCAGCCUGACACU